GCCAGACUGGUUAGCUUCGGCUAACCGAUUGAAGGCGCAGAGAAAUCAAACCAUGUGAUCCUUGGGACAACAACAGCCCCUUGGCGCAACAUGUGCCUGUUCGUAUAGCAAUGUUAGCAAUAACUUGCUGGGCGGAGCAAAGAGAUGCCUGAUUGGUACCCGAAAGAUGGUGAACUAUGCCUGGGCAAAUUGAAGCCAGAGGAAACUCUGGUGGAGGAUUGUAGCGAUUCUGACGUGCAAAUCGAUCGUCAGACCUGGGUAUAGGGGCGAAAGACUAAUCGAACCAUCUAGUAGC
rnacentral:rRNA from 1 species